AUUGAACGCUGGCGGCAUGCCUUACACAUGCAAGUCGAACGGUAACAGGUCUUCGGAUGCUGACGAGUGGCGAACGGGUGAGUAAUACAUCGGAACGUGCCCGAUCGUGGGGGAUAACGGAGCGAAAGCUUUGCUAAUACCGCAUACGAUCUACGGAUGAAAGCAGGGGACCGCAAGGCCUUGCGCGGACGGAGCGGCCGAUGGCAGAUUAGGUAGUUGGUGGGAUAAAAGCUUACCAAGCCGACGAUCUGUAGCUGGUCUGAGAGGACGACCAGCCACACUGGGACUGAGACACGGCCCAGACUCCUACGGGAGGCAGCAGUGGGGAAUUUUGGACAAUGGGCGCAAGCCUGAUCCAGCCAUGCCGCGUGCAGGAUGAAGGCCUUCGGGUUGUAAACUGCUUUUGUACAGAACGAAAAAGUCUUUAAUAACACUAGAGGCUCAUGACGGUACUGUAAGAAUAAGCACCGGCUAACUACGUG
rnacentral:rRNA from 1 species